rnacentral:tRNA from 1 species
CCUUCGGUAGCUCAGUUGGUAGAGCGGUGGACUGUAGUGGCUAAAAUCAUAGACAUCCAUAGGUCGCUGGUUCAAAUCCGGCCCGAAGGA